rnacentral:rRNA from 1 species
GAUGAACGCUAGCGGCAGGCUUAAUACAUGCAAGUCGUGGGGCAGCAUGAGUGUAGCAAUACAUUUGAUGGCGACCGGCAAACGGGUGCGGAACACGUACACAACCUUCCUUCAAGUGGGGAAUAGCCCAGGGAAACUUGGAUUAAUACCCCGUAAUAUUAUGGAGUGGCAUCACUUAUAAUUAUAGCUCCGGCGCUUGAUGAUGGGUGUGCGCCUGUANAGGUUAGGUUGGCGGGGUAACGGCCCACCAAGCCUUCGAUCAGUAACUGGUGUGAGA